CAGCAGACGAGCUGCAGGUGGAGCUGAGUGACUGGUCUCUGAGCGUCUCUAUAAAAGCAGAUGGCACCCGUCAUUCAAAGCUGGACCGUCGUCUAAUCUCCAGUUAGUGCUGGGAGUAGAACUGUCUUUGCCACCAGCCUAGAAUUGCCAGUAAUUCUGUUUUCUGUGUUUAGAAAGCUGAUUCCUGCCUGCUGAGUUGCCUGGGUUCCUUCGUCUGCUGGUUUCCGCCCUACCAUGGAUUCUGCCUUCUUCUCCGGAGGAUCUCCACCUGUUGCCAGCUUAACCUGGGAACAUCAACGUACACCUGGAAAGAAGACUUUCUCUGGAAACAUCUGCCACAACCAGGUUCUACUGAUACCAACUUACCAAGCACAUGGUGAACACCGGGAGAGAGAGUUCUAGAUGAAGUCAAACCAAAAGGACUGUUCUCAGCUCAUCAGCAGAGACCCAGGAAGAGGAAGGUAGAUCAGGUGGGGGAGUGGCCUGUUAGAGUCUCUUUGGGACCAUGUGGCCAUCUCAGGUGGGAAAGAGCUUCAAAACCGCAGUCCUAAUUGCGAGCAUGUGGCCUUCAGCAGCGUCCAAGGCGCACUUGACUUUCCAGGCCGUCCGGUGCUCUGGGCUGGAAGCCUGAGCGGAGGAGCACAUUUGGGCCACAGUGCUGCCUGCAUGUCAUCGAAUAAACUCCACACACAUACUAUUUUCUGAACCAUUGCUAUCUGUCUUUCUCUGGAACCCCUUCAGACCUCUUGAAUCCUUGUAGAAACAAUAAGGCGGAUCUGAAUGUGACAGGCGCGUCUCUUCAGUCGGGACCAAACCAAACCGUCAGCUGCGGCGGAGAUGCUGCUGUCAGAGCAGCAGAAGGUCCUGACAGGGUCCGCAGCUCUUAAUAAAGGCUGCUGCUCCGCUUCCCCAAUUAAACCAAGCCGAGCAAAUACACAGUGGUAACCUGCGGAACCAGUCUGAUUUAGUUUUACAGUGACGAGCUGUAAAAUACGUGUCCAUUUGAUCGAGCCACUAUAAAGCAGCUCCUGACUCUUAAAUCCUCCUUUAUAUGAAAUAGGAUAAUUUCACUUGUUCCAUGGAUGAAGACGCAAUAUGUCGCUGAUAGCAAUUUUAUUUUACGCACGGUCCAUAUGCGAAUAAAACAUAGUGAAGCUCGUGUACAGACAUGCGUGUACACACAAACGGUGCAAAAUGUAACGAGAUUUGAAUGUAUAAAGAGCGUUUCCUAUGGGUUUACCCUGGUGUCCACAUAUUUUUACGCACUGGAGUUAGAUCCCAAAAUAUUCCGACCACAAAUCGUCCCACUUAAUUUGGGCCCAGUAGCCACAUUAACAUAUAUACAAACAUAAACGGCUUCAUGUCACAGGGAUUUCUGUAUAAUUAAACCUGGUUAAAUGUAUUAUUUUUAUUGGCCGAUUUAGGCCUAUAAUAACGAUUAAAGUGCAUCCGAGAUUAAAAAUGUAAGACUGUGAACUUGAUGGUGUAUUUAUCCGAAAUCAGUUAUUUCAACCCGUGCCACACAUUUUCUUAUAAUAGAAUGGAAAACUGUAGGUUCAUUAAUCACUAAAUAAUAAUAAUAAUUGAUAGGAGCAACUUUGCCUUCUGACGCAAAUACUAAAGUGUCCUCAGGGAAUCAAAGUUCCCGAUAGAACUGUGGCUUUUAUAUUCCUCGUUUAAUAUGUCUUAAAAAUCUCCGUAUUGUUUGUCAGUAAGUGCAUCUGCAAUAAUUCAAGAGUAACUUUUUCGAGGCCAU
ensembl:lncRNA